UACGUAGGGCGCAAGCGUUGUCCGGAAUUAUUGGGCGUAAAGAGCUCGUAGGCGGUCUGUCGCGUCUGCCGUGAAAACCCGAGGCUUAACCUCGGGCUGGCGGUGGAUACGGGCAGACUAGAGGUAGGUAGGGGAGAAUGGAAUUCCCGGUGUAGCGGUGAAAUGCGCAGAUAUCGGGAGGAACACCGGUGGCGAAGGCGGUUCUCUGGGCCUUACCUGACGCUGAGAAGCGAAAGCGUGGGGAGCGAACAGG
rnacentral:rRNA from 1 species